AGCGAACGUUGGCAGUGUGUCUUAAGCAUGCAAGUCGAACGGCAGCAGGCCAUGUAGCAAUAUAUGGUGCUGGCGAGUGGCGAACUGGUGAGUAACACGUAAGAAUCUGCCCUAAGGUGGGGGAUAACUCAUGGAAACAUGAGCUAAUACCGCAUAAUGCGAAGCUUAUAGAGAUAUAAGUUUUGUUAAAGGAGAAAUCCGCCGUAGGAUGAGCUUGCGUCCCAUUAGCUAGUUGGCGGGGUAAAUGCCCACCAAGGCUAUGAUGGGUAGCUGGCCUGAGAGGGUGGUCAGCCACACUGGGACUGAGAUACGGCCCAGACUCCUACGGGAGGCAGCAGCUAAGAAUUUUCCUCAAUGGGGGAAACCCUGAAGGAGCGACACUGCGUGCAGGAUGAAGGCCCUUUGGGUUGUAAACUGCUUUUGCAGGGGAGAAAGUAACCGAAUGGGAUGAUAGUACUCUGCGAAUAAGUCCCGGACUAACUACGUGCC
rnacentral:rRNA from 1 species